GACGAACGCUGGCGGCGUGCUUAACACAUGCAAGUCGAACGGAAAGGCCCUGCUUUUGUGGGGUGCUCGAGUGGCGAACGGGUGAGUAACACGUGAGUAACCUGCCCUUGACUUUGGGAUAACUUCAGGAAACUGGGGCUAAUACCGGAUAGGAGCUCCUGCUGCAUGGUGGGGGUUGGAAAGUUUCGGCGGUUGGGGAUUGACUCGCGGCUUAUCAGCUUGUUGGUGGGGUAGUGGCUUACCAAGGCUUUGACGGGUAGCCGGCCUGAGAGGGUGACCGGGGAAAAUGGGAAUGAGAUACGGACCAGAGUGCAACGGGAGGCAGCAGUGGGGAAUAUUGCAAAAUGGGGGGAAGCCUGAUGCAGCAACGCCGCGUGCGGGAUGACGGCCUUCGGGUUGUAAACCGAUUUCGCCUGUGACGAAGCGUGAGUGACGGUAAUGGGUAAAGAAGCACCGGCUAACUACGUG
rnacentral:rRNA from 1 species